GGCUAAACCAUGCACCGAAGCUGCGGCAGCGACACUAUGUGUUGUUGGGUAGGGGAGCGUUCUGUAAGCCUGUGAAGGUGUGUCGUGAGGCAUGCUGGAGGUAUCAGAAGUGCGAAUGCUGACAUAAGUAACGAUAAAGCGGGUGAAAAGCCCGCUCGCCGGAAGACCAAGGGUUCCUGUCCAACGUUAAUCGGGGCAGGGUGAGUCGACCCCUAAGGCGAGGCCGAAAGGCGUAGUCGAUGGGAAACGGGUUAAUAUUCCCGUACUUGGUGUUACUGCGAAGGGGGGACGGAGAAGGCUAUGUUGGCCGGGCGACGGUUGUCCCGGUUUAAGCGUGUAGGUGUGUGUUCCAGGUAAAUCCGGUUCACUUUAACACUGAGGCGUGACGACGAGGCACUACGGUGCUGAAGCAACAAAUGCCCUGCUUCCAGGAAAAGCCUCUAAGCAUCAGGUAACAUCAAAUCGUACCCCAAACCGACACAGGUGGUCAGGUAGAGAAUACCAAGGCGCUUGAGAGAACUCGGGUGAAGGAACUAGGCAAAAUGGUGCCGUAACUUCGGGAGAAGGCACGCUGACACGUAGGUGAAGUGAUUUACUCAUGGAGCUGAAGUCAGUCGAAGAUACCAGCUGGCUGCAACUGUUUAUUAAAAACACAGCACUGUGCAAACACGAAAGUGGACGUAUACGGUGUGACGCCUGCCCGGUGCCGGAAGGUUAAUUGAUGGGGUCAGCGCAAGCGAAGCUCCUGAUCGAAGCCCCGGUAAACGGCGGCCGUAACUAUAACGGUCCUAAGGUAGCGAAAUUCCUUGUCGGGUAAGUUCCGACCUGCACGAAUGGCGUAAUGAUGGCCAGGCUGUCUCCACCCGAGACUCAGUGAAAUUGAACUCGCUGUGAAGAUGCAGUGUACCCGCGGCAAGACGGAAAGACCCCGUGAACCUUUACUAUAGCUUGACACUGAACAUUGAGCCUUGAUGUGUAGGAUAGGUGGGAGGCUUUGAAGCGUGGACGCCAGUCUGCGUGGAGCCGACCUUGAAAUACCACCCUUUAAUGUUUGAUGUUCUAACGUGGACCCGUGAUCCGGGUUGCGGACAGUGUCUGGUGGGUAGUUUGACUGGGGCGGUCUCCUCCUAAAGAGUAACGGAGGAGCACGAAGGUUGGCUAAUCCUGGUCGGACAUCAGGAGGUUAGUGCAAUGGCAUAAGCCAGCUUGACUGCGAGCGUGACGGCGCGAGCAGGUGCGAAAGCAGGUCAUAGUGAUCCGGUGGUUCUGAAUGGAAGGGCCAUCGCUCAACGGAUAAAAGGUACUCCGGGGAUAACAGGCUGAUACCGCCCAAGAGUUCAUAUCGACGGCGGUGUUUGGCACCUCGAUGUCGGCUCAUCACAUCCUGGGGCUGAAGUAGGUCCCAAGGGUAUGGCUGUUCGCCAUUUAAAGUGGUACGCGAGCUGGGUUUAGAACGUCGUGAGACAGUUCGGUCCCUAUCUGCCGUGGGCGCUGGAGAACUGAGGGGGGCUGCUCCUAGUACGAGAGGACCGGAGUGGACGCAUCACUGGUGUUCGGGUUGUCAUGCCAAUGGCACUGCCCGGUAGCUAAAUGCGGAAGAGAUAAGUGCUGAAAGCAUCUAAGCACGAAACUUGCCCCGAG
rnacentral:rRNA from 1 species